AGCCGCUGUCCCGCAAUGCUUCCAUUGGUCGAGGUGCGAGUCGCGGCUGUCCUGCCCGGCCUGGUAGUUGAGAGCGGCCAGCAGGCGGCAGAGAUGCAGUGGCUGGCCGCGGUGAGGAUCGAGGUGUGGCACUGGUACAGGCCCCGGCGCUCCUACAUCGGCGUGGUCCUCAGGCGAUAUCUAAGCAGGGUGCCGUUCCACGCCUCAGGGACCACCAAGCUGCGGCCCGUGUUCUUCAAUCCCUGUCUGGUGUAUCGCAAAAAUGACGUCCUCGUUCAACCUCACGAUGACGGUUGGGAUUCCGGCCUGGAGGGACGCACCGUCCACCUCCCACACUUCGUCCCCAGACCGGAGCUCGGAGAUCUGGUUUGCUGUGUCUCUGUUUACAUUCUUCGCAGCGGCCGCUGCCACAUUCUUGUUAUGCCACUAUCGUGUCAGGGACUGGGUGUUGCCGCGGGUGUUCCGGGCGUGGUGGCGCCUGCAUGCUCGCUUCCCGUGGUUGGUGCCGCGAUUACCUCGCCGAUACAUCAGGGCUAUGGCCAACUGGCUUAACCGCGACACACAGCGGGACAACCAUAACCGCGGUGCCAACGGCCAUGCGUGGCCCAACGAUGACGUGCCCCUGGACCACAGGAACAGGUAGAGGGGCGCCGCGCCGCCACGCCACACUUCAGGAGUCGGGGCAGAGCGAGCUGUAUUUUUUGUUCAGUUCGCUUUUUACUAACAAUAUUGAAGCUGAUGAUUGCUGACCGUCAGCCGCCGAAGAGCAAUCUUUUUAUCAUGCAUCAGUUGUUCUGGUUAACUUUAAAAUAUUUUUGCUGUCGUGCUUUUUUUUCCUUGUUUUCUGAGCGUUGAGCACGACAGGUACCGGAGAGAUUUGCAAUAAAAAAACAUUUUUUUUUAAUGCAAGCGCCUUAGUGCAUGCCACUCAGUACGAGGAAGUGUGCACCUGUCUGAACUUGAUGAAUGUCUGAUACAAAGCGUCGAGACGAGAAGCCGUGAACAAGCUACCCCACCCUCCCUCCCUAACUACACCCCCCCAACACACACACACACACGGGUCAGUGUACACACGUAGACACACAAAUAAGUCCCGCCGGGGACUUAUUUGAAAAUGGGUGUUCGCGCGCCUGAACGUGGCGUGCCGCGUGAGUAGAGGCGUGGAAGUCAACACAAUCUGCGGCUGAUACUGAGACCUUGGGACGCGGCGCUGCUUAUCGCUCACGUGGGGGAGAUAGUCUGGCCGUGCUGGUGAAUUACCUGCUGUGUACUGCCCUGCUCCUGCCCACACCCCGCACCCCAUGGCCGAUCUACCUCACGCCCACAACCCGCUCACUAUCCAACCCUUCCUUCCUGACCCACCCUCCCCACACAACGACCCAUCUUCCUGUCUCCACCCCAUACCUAACCCACCUCUCAAUCCACACGUGUAUUGUCCACACCCCAUACCUCACUCUCGCCUAACCCCAUCCACCAGCCCACACCUCCCAUGCAUGUCUCCCUCUCUACCCCACAGUUCAGUACAAUGCACUUAAUACGAGUCAUAACAUUUGAUACCAUCGAUAAAGGUGAUAUCAUCGCUGAAUCAAGUUGUAAACACAUGAAGUAGGUCUGUGACGUCCGUGCGUAGGUGUGUGUAUGGCUGGGAGGCGGCGGUGGCUGACCCUGGGUGAGGUCACUGAGGGGCGGGGUGAGUGAGGUCAUUUGGGAAAGAGAGAGGGGGAGUGUCAGGGUUAGAGAGGCGUCAGUGGUGGUGGUAACAGGACGGUCACAGGAAGGUUAUUCGUAAUAUCAGAGAGAGAGAGAGAGAAAGGUAUUAAACCUUGCCUUUCACCACAAUCUUGCUCUAUCUAGUGAAGGCGAACGUUUGUGGCUGGUGUAAUAUUUUCGUCCUUGUCCCGCGCCGCACUGCCCGCCAACCAGCCAGCCAGCCGUCCCCCGCCCCACACCCCACACCCAGAAAAGCGCCACAUUCACACAACUCAGCCAACCGCUCACUCGCUCAGUCACCACCGAGAUAUUCAAGAGUGAGGACGUGACUAGCAGAUUCCCUCGCCAUCCAUGUGAGAAACGUUUAAAUAUCUGCUAACCUUUACAAGUCACUUCUGCUGGACAAACUAGUCACCAGUGUGUGUUGUGAAGCAGUGAGCCAGGCCGUGAGGAUGUAGUGUAUAGAGUAAUGCUGAAAAGAGGGAAGCGUUCGCGUGUAUGGGUGAUCUUGUGACCUACCGUAAUGGACGUGCAUAAAGCAGGAAGCUGACACGCGAGGGAGUGGCGGCUGUAGCAGUGAGGGAAAGACUUGCCCAUCUCACAAACCAAGCAAAGACAAAGAAAGUGGUUGUUGUACCGGAGUGAGGAAGCAAACCAUCUUAAACCAAGCAAGCAAAGGAUAAAGUAACGAUUGCAGCAGGAAGAGAGGAAACUGCCCCCACACGCAAAGCAAGGACAGUGGUGGUCGUAGCAGAGGGAAAGCAAACCACGCAAAGGAAGAAAGGAAGACAAAGAACAGUAAGACAGCAAACUUAACACACAAACCAAGCUAUGAAAGGACAAAGUAACCAAUACAACAAGAAUAAAGCAAACAAAUUAAAAAGGAUAAAGGAAGUCACGGUUACAGGGUGAGACAGCAAGCCAUAGCGCACAACCCAAGCAAGACAAAGAAAGCAAAGGUUAUAUAUAGACACCAAGCUACCAGUUCGCGUCUUGGCAAACUGAAGACCAAGCACGAGACGAGGGAAACGGUAACGGCGGAGGAGAAAGCAAUCAAUAACCUUACCCGCACAAGCACCGCCGCCACCACCACCGCCGCCACCACCACCACCAGAUCUCACCGCCAUGCAUCUUGCUGAACAAGAACCAAGGGGACUGAACAGAACACACACAGUUAAUCUAAUGACAAAGUGAACUCAAUAAUAACUAGGAAAGUGACGAGCAAACUCACUAAAACACAAUACGGGAAAAAGUGAAUCUAGUGACACGUUGAACAGAAAAAAAGUAACAAACAAAACAAAAUCAUAAAUCUAUAACUCGAAUGGGAAAGUGAAUCUUGAAACAAAGUAAAACCGAAAAAAAAACUUUCAAGCAAGCAAACAAGAACAAUCCGCAUCCACGCCAUCUCAGGACAUAAACAACAAAUCAAAACAAAACCAAGACAAAAUAACGAUGGAGCUUCACAACGCCCUUAAGAACGUCACCAUGAUCCUGCUCACCACGGAGGCGCCCAACACCACGCACAGUGACACGGGCGGAGACGUGGGCCCCUCAGGCGGCGAGACGGACGGCUGGAUGCUAUGGGCCAUCGUCACCGGGUCUCUCUUCUGCUUCACCGCCCUCGUUGUCACCGGUUUCAUCUUCCUCGUGGUGCUGCCACGACGCGGGUACGAGCGGAUCGAGGGGCGCAGGAAGCAGAUGAGGGCCUUCACACAGCUGCUGGAGGAGAUGCGGGGCCGCCCUAGAAGCGUGGAGCCCGAGGAGUCCCUGACGGAGAGCGAAAGACAUUUCCUCAUCCAUGACUUUGCAGACUUCCCGUAGCUCUCCCCUCUACCUCUGACCCUCUCUGACCCUCCCCUCUCCCUCCACCCUGCCCAGCCUCUCCCCGUCUCCCUCCCCGCCUGUGUCAACGUGCCCAUUCUCUUCCCUUCCUCUCUCCUCUCUCCAUCGACUUAAUUCACAGCUUUCCAUGUCCUUCUUUCCCCCCUCCUCCAUCCUUCCCUAGCCAUGCAAAGGGUUACGUAUGUUUUGACCCAGUUGUUCCCAGUGUCUCCUCCUCCUCCUCAUUGACGUCUUACGCAGUUUUGUCUUCCAUUUGUAAUCUCUUACUUUCUCCUGUUCCUUAUCGUUAUCUAUUCAUCUUCCUGUAUCUGCUUCUUCAUUCUCAUCAUUCCUUGUAGUCUUCCUAUCUUCCUCCCCCGGCCCUCCAUCUCACCCCACCACCCUCCUUCCUUUCUUAUCUCCCCUCUCCAUCCUCGUUCGUCUACUUUUCCACGAACUUUUCCAUUUAUCUUCUAAUUUUUCCAUCAAUAUUUUCUCUAUGCACCCAUUCAUCAUUUUUCUCUCGCUAUUCCUCCAUCAUCAUCAUUCAUUUACAUACUCACCAACGUAACACUCCACACGUCUAUUUCGUCAUUCAUUCAUACUUCCCCAUCCCUCCUCCUCCUUCGUUAGCGUCCCAGUCUCUCCCCCUCCCUUCGUCAGCAAUAGCAAGACGUCAAACUACACGUGCCAGACUUCAAAAGACGACUGGGGUGCCUCGUCUGUUUGUCUGAUGCCCGUUACCUUCCCUCCCCUCCCCUCCUUUAGUCCGUCUCCCUGGCGCCUUGUUAAACUAAACAGCGAAGGUCGUGUCUCCUUUCCCCGAGUUUUUUGGUCGUGCAGGGUUCAAGCUGUGAUGUAAGAGACUGGUAGUGAGAUUUGUUGGUGUCUAGAAAUGUGUUUUAAUGUUAGUGAUGUAAGUGCGCAGUGGAGUGAUUUCCUCUAUACGGGUUUUAUAUGUAUUUGUAUUGAGAGAAUGGUUUUGUCAUUAUUAUUAGUGUGUAUUGUUUCCAGUUAAUAAAAGAUGUUUUUUUUUA